AUGAACGUAGAUGUUGUGCCAGUUAGGAAGGCUUGUACUAAAAUGCUGAAACGUGCGACUCGCCAACAACGAUAUAGGCUCAAGAAAGUGUUUUUUGACCCUCACCCACUCCAUUUGGUGACGGGAACUUCUCCUGUCCCCUCGAUGACUGAUGAGCAGUGGAAUGAGAUGGUGGAAAGCUGGAAGGAUCCCAAAAAGAUGGGGAUAUGUGAAAUUAACAAAAAUAAUCAAGCUCAAGUUAAGUUUCACCAAACUACUGGCGCGCGCAGCUAUCCUGUGCAUUGUGAUAAUCUGGGCGACAAAUACAAAGAUAAAGAACCCACUACAUUGGAUUUGUUCAAGGAGUGUCACUACAGCAAGAAAAAGAAAAGCUACACUGAUGUCGUGCAAGCUACAAUUACUGAGAUGGAAAACAAGGCCUCUCAACCUACAGAAGAUGGUCAGGAAUCAAACUCUGCAACCGAGGCUGUAGCUGAAGUGCUUGCUAAGCACACUAAGAAGACAAGGUUUCUUCAGCAUGUGGGGAUCCAGCAUGUCCAUGCGAGAUCCAGUGCAGAAGUGGCAACGGAGAAGAGGGACAAUGUCGAGCUUCGGGCACGUGUUGACACCUUGACCAAGCUGUUGAAGGAGUCCGAAGAAGCAAGGAUCAGGCAAGACGAGGAGCACAUGAAGAGGGAUGAGGAGAACAGGAAGAAGCAAGCUGCGGUGGAUGCAAAACUAGACUUUUUGCUAAUGCAUGUGGAGAUGUAA
rnacentral:rRNA from 1 species